rnacentral:lncRNA from 1 species
CUAUCCAGCAAAGAGAGGAUUUGAGGUUAGCCUAAAUCUACAUUAUGGUGCCUGCACAGGUGCACACAAAUUGCAAACAGAGUUGACAUUUUUCACAAGUCUCUACCCAAAAUUGUUCCAGUUGGGGUAGUGAUGAAAACAUGGAAUGAUGGAGGUUCUGAGAACUUCAGUCUUGUGUUGGUGUGAUUUUUGCAAAAGCAGCAAGGGAAAUCCCAGUGCUUUCAGGUGGUCUCAGCACAGAAUCAUUGUGAAGGGCACACUGUUUCUCUGAUGUAAGAGCCAUGAAGCCAGCCAAAAUUACAUUUUUUAAAGCCAAAUGGAAAGAAAAAGGCUUGGAAGCACAGGAUGACAUGAAAAUUCAGUAUUUCCUUCCACCCCUGUGGCUUUCAGUGAGGUACUCCCAAUGAUUUCUAAGGUCUCUCAGUGGUUCUGGGGGAUCUUCAGACCCUACAUCAGUGAUCAGCCUGACCUGAAAUGGAAGGAAAGAUGUGUGGGACUUGGAUUGCUCAAGCUCCACAGGCUGCAGAGAGGAUUUUGUCCCCAGGCAUUUAUUGUUAAAUGAGGAGUAAUAACCUGCACUGUGAGUAGAAUAUAAUGAAUUCCCUCAGUUACUAUUUUUGUAAUCAAUCAGGUUUUUUAAGGUGAGUUAAUGAUGA